rnacentral:rRNA from 1 species
CAGUAGCCGCGGUAAUACGAAGGGGGCUAGCGUUGCUCGGAAUGACUGGGCGUAAAGGGCGCGUAGGCGGAUGGAACAGUCAGAUGUGAAAUUCCCGGGCUUAACCUGGGGGCUGCAUUUGAUACGUGUUGUCUAGAGUGAGGAAGAGGGUCGUGGAAUUCCCAGUGUAGAAGUGAAAUUCGUAGAUAUUGGGAAGAACACCGGUGGCGAAGGCGGCGACCUGGUCCUUUACUGACGCUGAGGCGCGAAAGCGUGAGGAGCAAACAGGAUUAGAUACCCGCGUAGUCCCUGUCUCUUAUAC